CCCCGGAGCUUCCUUAGCGCGCAUGCUCAACACCUUUGUCGGGCCACACAGCAGCUCUUUGAGAGAGAGAGGACAGGGACACAUUGUUUCCUUUUGUAAGGCAAUAAGAGAAUGAGAUGGAGCCAGCGGAAAGCUGAGGUGAAGGCACUGUACCUGGUAACACAUUCACAGUCAGAGGAGAACAGCUUUCUCGUUUCCAGGCAGAAAAACUGGUCAGAGACCGGUGACUUCCUCACUUAGCGAAGGCCAUUUGAUGACUUAGUAGUAACAAAGUCAAUACUACAAUGAAAACAGCAACGAUAACAAACAAAUAAGCACAAAAUGGUGGCAAUUGUUGGCAAGGAUGGUAACAUAAAUACAAGCCCUGUGUGCUGCUGAUAGAAUGUUAAACGAUAUGGCCCCUGGGAGAAAAAUCCGAAGGUGAUCCCUCAAAAAACUAAAUGUGACUUACUCCAAGAUCUAGAAACUUCACUCCCACCUACCAGUGGGUCCAGAAGAAUUGAAAACCGGAACCAGAGAAGAUAUUUGUAAACCUACCUUGCUGGCAACAUUGCUUACACUGUCUAGAGGGCAGACGCAAGCCUGGUCCACGACAGACAAACUGACACACCACGUGGCAUGCACACCUACCACGGAAUCUCAUUUCGCUUCUGAAGGAAGGAAACAUCAGGACAGCCUGCAGCAGAAGGAACGUGGAGGACGCUGGGAAAGGGCCAACUGGACCGCGAUGAGAUUCUACUUUGAAAGAAAUGCCACUGAGCUCCUAGACAUCAAUAACAUACAAGAGGCUGUUGUGGGGUGAGUUCAGCUAAGCAUCCCAUUAAGGUGCCCAUUGUCUUCUCCUCUGGUGGGGAAGUGGGGGCAUCAUUGGUACUUCGAUAGUCCCCACAGAACUUGGGCCUUCUGUGGAGUGCUGGGGGCAGAAAUGGCGCAGGAUAGCUGGUGUGGAAAGAAAGAUGACAGGGCCUGAAAACUCCAAAUACAAGACCGACAAGUGCUCUGGCCUUCCACCUCUGCGGUGCUAACCCAGACAAUCAAGAGCAGAGACUCUGAAGGGCUAUCUGUGCACGCGUGUUUAUAUUCACAAUUGCCCAAAGCUAGAAACAGCAGGACACCCAUGGGUAAGUGGGGGAGGGGACAUGCAAAAUGUGGUAAAGAAAACAAACAAAAUAAACAAAUAAACACUGGCGUGUGCCCUGGAAGAAGCCAGCCACAUAUAUGCCGUUGGUAGUUAAACUCAGACAGAGGUCAAACAGUGGGGGUGGAGACAAAGAGAUUUACUGAUUAAUGGUGCAUAGAGAGAUCUAAGUUAGGAAGACUGAUAAAAGCCUUGGGUGCCUGUGGUACGACGCCAUGGAUCUGCUUCGGUGUCUCCCAGCUCUACCUUUAAAAGCAGUCGCAAUGGAAAAGUCUGUACAGUGUGUAUUUAACCGCAGGGAGGGAAGGAAAGUGUAGACCAGAACUCUCUAGGGCUUGCAGAACUUCCAGAUGUGCACCUAGCCCAGGAGCCUUUUCCAAAGCAGGUUCUGACGGACUAGCCAAACCUCUGCAUGCUGACUGGUUCGGCUUCAAACACAAACCAAUUAAGUUCAACAGUCGGGAACACCAAGCAGAGACCUCCGCGACCCUCCCUGCUCUGAUGUGUGUAGACGAACCAGCCCUACCUUCUAGCCUGCACAUCCAGGUAGAUGGCUAACAGCUCCGCAUGCCACAGCACGCAAUCAAUAGUGCCGGUGUUUGUGCGAGCCAUUCUUCAAGCUAGAAGUCUGAGGAGGCAGGUGGGGAAGCUGACAGUGGGGGAGGAGGAGAGCCAGCCUAUCAGGUAUCUAUUACUCAGGGAGAGAUGAAAGAAGACUCAGAGAGUCCUUUCAAAGCUGCAAACAGCCAGGAUGGGUGGAUCCCACGGCCGGCAGCCAGCUGGGCCGCAGGAACUUCUUCCAAUGAGGUUGACCAUCCCAGGAAAACCCCUCUGAGUCGCUAGUGUUAACUGAUUGCUGAUGAUUGACGCACGGGCCUUUUAUGUCCCCAAAUGAAAGGCAGAAAUGGGGCCCUGACUUUGGCGUGGAUGACUACCCCAGCACCGGUUCCCUAGCAAAGACGGAAUUUUAAAACAUUGAUGUUAGCUGAGCGGGAGCGCGGCUCCACCGCGGCUCAUGGAGGAAUGAAACGAUCUUGUCUGGUGUUCGCCUUCCUUUGUUCUUUCACUCAGACAUUAAAAAUACAGCAGGCUAAAAGGAGAAAAUAAAUUUCAAAGACCCUCCUAGCCGGCAGACGCAAAGACAGGUGAGGUGUGGAGCGAGCUUGCGAAACAGAUGAAGCAAGUCUGGGAUGAGCCUUGGGUUCUUUGGAGACCGGCUUAAGUGUGCUUUGGCUCCUCUUAAGUGUGCCUUGGCUCCUCGCAGCCUCCUUGGAGAAUUCUCACAGGCAGGCCUCCUAUACCCGCUGCCCUGUGUACUGGGCUGGGCCUUUGAUACAGCAUUUCAGAGAGACGCCAGGCUUCUAGACUUUUCUAUAGCGCUUCAGGAAAAGAGACUCUCUCUGUGCUCUUGGCCCAGACGGGCUGAUUGCUUCUGAAAGAGGUGCGGCUUGGGGUCUUAGCAACAAUAAACACAUUUACUGCUGCAUGAUAUAAAUAAAAAAAAAAAAGUCAACACAUCGUGAGUGCAUGCUGUUGGGUGUGUGCUAGAUGUGUCUUUCCCUACCUGACACACCCACGUAACAUCUACCUGAUCGAUUGACCAAACAUUGAUUGCAGCUUGUCAUAUCCAAAUGACCGAACUUGUUUCCUGUCGUAAGGGAGAAACCACUGCCAGGAAUGCUGUCCUGGGCAGGGAGAAAGUAUUCAAGUCUACCUCAGUACAGAGUCUCCCACACUUUGAUGACGACUGAAGAACUCAUGUGACUUAUCCUCCAAAUGACGUGCUGUUUGAGCGUGUUGGUGCAAGCAUCCACCGAGAUGUGGAAUACCUUUAAGAUUGAAAAUGCACUACAGGCGUAAAUUGAAACUUCCAUGAAACUGGUGGAUAUCUGUACCCAGUAGCAACUGCACACAGUCCAGCACUAUGUUCCAGACCCCCACUCGCCACGGCUCCAUCUUUGAUGCAUUUCUCUCUCGGCUCUACCCUGUGGGAGGCAGACUCCUGCACAUUGGACCACCACACUGCAACUGGUCCUCUUGCCCUCUGCCACAGCUAAUCAGAGACCUUCCAGAAUAACACCAGUAGGAAGAGAGAGGAGUCAGCAAACUUUUUUGGGGUCACCGUCCUGCACUGAUGCAAAAUCCCUUCUGUGAUUACCACUUCCUCCAGAGUGGUCCUCCUACCAAGCUGCAGAUCUCUCCAACCUCCAGAGUUGUUGUCCUAACGCUGUAGAUACAAUCCCCACACCUGCGUUAUCAGCAUCACCGUGAAGUCCUGGGCACCACUGAGUCCUGUGGUGGGGUGCAGCCCUUGGCUUCUACGGUGUCCAGCCUGAAGUUUGGGAUUGUCUGAUUCACAGAACUCCAGGGGAUUUUCUAGUCUUUCUUUCUCCAAUAGGAACACACGAGAAGGUGAGCACACAGCUCCAAGGGCAUGCGGACAGGGGAUGAAGGUGCAAAGAACUGACUAAGUGGGACUCCCUGAACACUGACGGGCCCAGCUGGAGGAUUCAGCUCGCCAAGGCCAACUUCUCUCACCUAAAGCGUGGAAGUGGACGUCUGAAAGUAACAAAGUAACAAAGGGCGUGAUCACACUCACUUGAGUUCCAGUGGAAGAAUUUUAGAGCUGGCAGCCCAAUCUGGGAGAAGCCUUCAAGUCCUCCAACCUGCAGACCCACUCAGCAAGUGCGGCAAGUGACAGAGGAACCACCACCCCGACAAUCAGGGGGACAGGAUGCUUGCUCCUCCCUACUCACAGAGCAUUAAACAACCGCUCUGAGUCCUUUGUUUGCAAUCAAAGUUCAAUUCUAAUCAAUAUAAUUAAAACUAGGAGUCGGAUAAAGCAUCUGACUGCAAGGCCAAGGAGAGAGCUUCAGGAAUGGUUGGAUCAAGGGCCUUAGGUCACGUCUGACUGAGGUGGGUAUUUAUAUAUACUUGCUCAGCUUCCCAAUGUCUUGACAUCAGUUCUGGGCAAGAUAAUACUAACCAUAUCUUUAAGUCUUCAAAAUUUAAGGUACAUGGGCAUAUUUUCCAGUGCUCCUAUAGUAGGCUGGUAUUGCUAUAGUGAAGAGCUAUGAGCUGAGGCCUGAACAACAAAAACUGAUUCCAUCCAAAUUCUGGACACCAGAAUUCCAAGAUCAAGAUGUCAGCAAGGCUGGCUAUCCCAGAGCUGUGGGGAAGAACAAGUACCACUGUGGUUUGCUAGCAGUCUUUGGGGUCCUAAUCUCUGCCUUCACCUGCAUAUGACGUUCUCCUUAUGUGUCUCUGUCUCAGUUCCCCCAUUUACUGUGGACACUGUUUAUAUUUCGUUGGGGGUCUACCCCACUGCAGUGCGAUCCCACCCUACCCACCACGUCAGCAACUCCCCUUUUUUCCAAACAAGACCACAUUGUGCAGUAGUGGGGUGCCAAGAUUACACAGGAAUUUGGACAGAACACAUUUCAACUUCUAAUAGCAUCUUUCACAUCAGUGUGACCAAGAACUUCACAGCGGCACUGGCUGGGCUUCUCAUGAAUAACGGGUAUUUCAGAACCAAUACCUGUGAUAUACUGCCCUGUCUAUAGGUCUGCUGGUAUAGGCAGCAUGCCUGUUUAGAGCUGCGGUUCUCAAUGUGUGAGUCUUGACCCCCUGGGGGGAUAGCAUAUCAGAUAUUCUGCAUACCAGAUAUUUACAUUAUGAUUCAUAACAGUAGUAAAAUCACAGUUAUAAAGUAGCAAUGAAAAUAACUAUGGUGUGUGGGGGAUCCCUUGACAUGAGGAACUGUAUUAAGGGGGAGAUUUAAGUAUAAAUGAGGAAGUUUGGGAACCAUUGGUCUAGAGGAAGCAUAAACUCUGGAAAUAAGAGGCCUAAACACGGCUUGACUCCCUUUGAAAGCAAGGUCCUCUUGUCGCGAACUAAGAAAGGAAGUUGAGCAUCUAACUACUCUUAGUUCUUGAAGGCAUCCUGGGCUCCGUCGGCUCCUGGUGGCUCUGUGCUUUGCGUUCAUUCCUUUUCAUAUCAGGAGAUGAAAACAGUAGCUCCUGGUUAUCAGUCCACCUAGUAUUGAUUAAAAUCCCUUCCCGAAGACCUUCCGCCUCACUUCCGGCAUGGUAUGAUUUGCUUUUCUUUUGACUCCAUGUAACAUGUGAUUAAUGCUGAUCUUGGGAGUCCCGGUGAGAUGAAGCCGGGUGUCGGGUGUGAUUUGUCAGCUUGGAGGUAUAGAUUAUUUUAUGCUUCUCAAACUUUGUGGCCAAGGGAACACGGCUCUUGAUUGUUAGAUCCAUCCACACUUUCCCCUGGGCUAUGAAAUGCCAGAAACAUUAAAUACCCCACUUAAUACAUAACCUCAUUCUGUAUGCUUGACUAUUUUGUUUUUAAUUUUUCUUCCCUUUCCCGGCUGCUCACAUGAAAUGGGAUCAAAGAAAAAAAUUAUCCUCACUGGAUUUUGUUAAAAUAUUAAUAGGUUAGGGUUGACUGGCUAAAUUGAAUAUCUUUGCUGAUCUCCCUUGCAUGUUUAACUUGUGCUUAGGAAAAUAUGUUUCCUAGGUGAUAACCUUUUAUGUACCAGCCCGACUUCAUUGAAAUGCAUAGAGAUAAAAAUAUGUCACGCUCAGCGGCUACGCUAUUCUUGUGUGCCUCUGCGAUUAUUCAGAUGGUAAUUGACCCCCACCUGUAGACAGCUCCGAUUCUGUAGUCAAUCAUUUCAUUUGAUGUUAAAAUAUGUGAAAGUACAAUUAUAUAAUUUACAUUACAAAUCACGCUGAAUGCCAAGGGUCUCUGAACCCCUGACAAAUGCAAAGGCACCCAGGGUUGCA